CAGCCGCCGCGGGAAAACAGAGGGUGCGAGCGUUAAUCGGAUUUACUGGGCGUAAAGCGUGCGUAGGCGGCUUCUUAAGUCGGAUGUGAAAUCCCUGAGCUUAACUUAGGAAUUGCAUUCGAUACUGGGAAGCUAGAGUAUGGGAGAGGAUGGUAGAAUUCCAGGUGUAGCGGUGAAAUGCGUAGAGAUCUGGAGGAAUACCGAUGGCGAAGGCAGCCAUCUGGCCUAAUACUGACGCUGAGGUACGAAAGCAUGGGGAGCAAACAGGAUUAGAGACCCCCGUAGUCCCUGUCUCUUAUAC
rnacentral:rRNA from 1 species